CCAUCGUCUUCCUGCUCCGACUCCAGGCCACGAGCUGCUCCCCACCAAUGGCUCCGCCCCGCGCCUCCUCGCGGCUAUGCCGCCGGCGAUGUGCGCCGCCCCCGGCCGCGCGUCGCUUUCCUCUUCCCGGCAACGCGCCGCUCGCCUCGUCCCGCCCACAUGCCCCAGCGACUCCUCCCUGCUCCACUCCCGACGAGUCGCGCUGCCCCUGGUCACGUUGGGACAUGGGAUAGGUGGGGAGGGUUGGAGUUAAACUCCAUAUCCCUGGCCACGUUUUCUAAUCCGCAACAGCAGUGAACAACGAUUUCAAGAAGCGGGCGGACGGCUCGGCUGAGGCGGCAGCCGCGGCCGGACUCCUCUGCAGCCUUAGGGUGGCGGCAGCUCGCCGCCUUAAAUCCAGGAGGGGGCGACCUGGACCACGCGCACGUCCUCCAGGGGUACGUAAUCGUCCAAAUCUCGCGUUGUUUAUUUUGGGCUCGAUGCUUGCUGGUUUGAUUUGGGGUUGGCAUCCAUUCCAGGUGAGUUGGAAUAAGAUUUACAUGUGCAAUGACCUAGGAUUAUGCAGAUAAUGGAAUUUGAGUUGGUGCGGAACAUGCACUGUAAUGAAGGAUGCUAACUUAUUGUCCUGAGGAGAGCUGCUGCUACCAUUGACCGGAAUGAAGACAAAGGAUCAAUUUAGGUGGUGAAUGGAAGACUUAAUUCGAGCAACCUGUAUAGAGCCAAAGAACAACGACAGUAAGAAGCAGAUUUCCUGUUCGUUUACAUGGGGCACUUCCUCGCUAGCCUUGAACAAGAUUUCAUCUGUUUUGUCAGACCAAAAGCUGUAGAAAGAACUCCGGUAAUCUGUCAAAGCUUACUUGGCCUGAAACUAUUUAUUUUGUCUUUAUCUUCGCAGGAUGAAGGAUUUAGCUUCUUCUUUGCCUUUUUAUUUUUUCCCAUGUAUCAUGUUACUCGUCAAAGCGAAGCAAUCAAAAAACUCCAGCAACAUACACUGAAAUUGUCACUUUUAAAAAGGAACGGGCAGAACCUAUGGCGUGGCUUGGUGGGUGCGGACGUCAAAUUGACCAUUAAUUAUCACCCAGCACCUCGAUCCAGAUUUCUUUCAUGGAAAAUUGAAAGCCUGUCAUGUGUACCUCUAAUGCAGAAAUAGGCAAGCACACGAGAAGAAUUGAUCACCGCUAUUAAAAUGGUCAAAUGGACUGGACUGACACGCUUACGCUGCAAAUGGUCUGUGGCUUGUAACAGGGCACGAAUCUUGGCGGGGCUCAACGCACGGGAUAACCGAGGGUCGGGACUCCCGGGUGCUACCACGCCUUUCCGUUUUCACAUAUAUUUCUCUAGCAAAGUGCAGCUGGGAGCGGUGUAUAGAAUGUUCAGUUUUGCAUGUUCUGAUGCCAGAUAGUGUUCAGCUUAAAGAGAUGGCUAUGAGGUGCGUGCAAGUACAAGCGUGAAAUGAGUGUCAAUUUGUUAUUCGCCAAAGUGAUAUGAAAACGAAGAUCCUGUAACUGAAGUUGCAUCCUCAGUCCUACAUAACACAUCCUUUUUCGCAGAAUAAAUGGUCACAACUUCUUCAUAUAUAUAGGCAGUGUUGCUGGAGGAAUGGCAAGAUGCCCAGUCAGAUGACCUAGGUCUGUGGCAAGUUGGUGGACCUCGACUACAGGAACAUCACCGAGGCAAUCACCGAGGCAAUCGAUAGUAGGUUGGUCAAUUGCUAACACAACAUGUUUUGAAUUGUAAAAUUAAGUUUGUUCUUUUGUUUAUUUUUUCUGAUUGAAAGUGCCAGUUGGUGUUGUUGUAUAAAAUAUUUUGAAUUACAAAAUUAAUUCUCCGGUUACACGCAUGGGAUUGUUUCUUCAACUUUUCCGCAGGUCACUGACUUAGCCACGCCACCAGGCAACUGUUCUAUACAUAGUAAGAGAGAGAGAGAGAGACAAAAUAUAUGUGAUUCAUGGAUGGAUGGAGACCAGGUUGGCCCAUCCAAGUUGCACAACUCCAGUUGAGCUGCUUUCUCCGGCCCAAGGUCCCAGCGGUGCAGCCAUUCUAUAAUCAAUCUUUCACGUUCACUCACCAAUUUAAUAAUCCCACUUCACUCUCUUACACACAAU